rnacentral:piRNA from 1 species
UAACCUUGUUAUGGGGGUCUGGGG